CUUAUUAGUUGUUUUAUUAUUCUUUAUUUUGGACAAAAUACUGAAUGUAAAAUUUGUCAUCUUAAACAUUUUUAGGAAUACUGUAUGGUGCCAUUAACUGCAUGCACGUUAUUGUGCAGCAGACCUCUUGAACGUCUUCAUCUUGAAAAACUGAAAUUCUGUAUCCACUGAACAGCUCCUGUGAUGGUCGAUCUGGGCAUCACCUUGCCUGCAUGGAGGGACGCUCGGACCGUCGGUAUGCCAUUAGUUGAUUAGUGACUCUCCAUGCUUGGAAGGGCACCGACCCAUCCCUCUUCUGCUGAAGGGAAACCAAGGUGAUUUGGGGUUUGAUUAGCAUGAUUCAGGUGUCACCGUGAGGUGUUUCUGGGCGAGAUUGGAAUUUGUGUCGUGGACUGAGGAAGGCCUGUCCUCCCGUGGGCAGCUGUCUCCACUUGGCGGGGGCCAGGAUGGAACUCAAAGGGUGAGGAGGGAAAAUUGUUGUCUUUCUUCCAGAGCCAGAACGCACUCCUCCUGCUCUUGGAUUGCAGAACUCCUGACUCUCUGGGCUUUGGACCCGGGACUCACGAGUGGCAGCCCCAGGCUCUCAGGCCUUCGGCCUCAGGCCGAGCCACACCGCGGCUUCUCCCGUCCCAAGGCCUUCGGACUCGGCUGAGCCUCUACUGUCUGUCCUGGUGGCCAGCGUGAAGACAGCCCGUCCUGGGAUCUCGCUGUCUCCUUAAGCCUGCACGUGCGCUCACUGCUCACUCACCGACUCCCCAGAGCGACUUCCAGUCUUGCAAGCUCAUUCACGACCCUGACAGACACAGUGGGCUCUUCACACAGGUGUUCAGCAAGUGGAAAAAUGGGAGUCAUC